rnacentral:rRNA from 1 species
AGGACGAACGCUGGCGGUGUGCUUCACACAUGCAAGUCGAACGGGGUAGCAAUACCCAGUGGCGGACGGGUGAGUAACGCGUGGGAAUCUGCCUAAAAAUGGGGGAUAGCUGGCCGAAAGGCUAAUUAAUACCGCAUAGGCCUAUAAUUCGACAGUUUUAUAGGUUAAAGGAGUAAUCCGUUUUUAGAUGAGCCCGCGUCCGAUUAGCUAGUUGGUAGGGUAACAGCCUACCAAGGCGACGACGGGUAGCCGGCCUGAGACGGGGCGUACCGGGCCAACGACCGUCGGGAACUUGGAGACACGGCCCAGACUCCUACGGGAGGCAGCAGUGGGGAAUAUGGACAAUGGGCGCAAGCCUGAUCCAGCCAUGCCGCGUGGAUGAUGAAGGCCUUAGGGUUGUAAAGUCCUUUUAACGGGGAAGAUAAUGACGGUACCCGUAGAAUAAGCCCCGGCUAACUUCGUGCCAGCAGCCGC